rnacentral:rRNA from 1 species
AGUGAACGCUGGCGGUAGGCCUAACACAUGCAAGUCGAACGGCAGCACAGUAAGAGCUUGCUCUUACGGGUGGCGAGUGGCGGACGGGUGAGGAAUACAUCGGAAUCUACUUUUUCGUGGGGGAUAACGUAGGGAAACUUACUCUAAUACCGCAUACGCCCUACGGGUGAAAGGAGGGGAACUUCGGACCUUGUGCGAUUGAAUGAGCCGAUGUCGGCUUAGCUAGUUGGCGGGGGAAAGGCCCACCAAGGCGCCGAUCCGUAGCUGGUGUGAGAGGAUGGUCAGCCACACUGGAAGUUGGACGCGGUCAAGACUCCUGCGGGAGGCAGCAGUGGGGAAUAUUGGACAAUGGGCGCAAGCCUGAUCCAGCCGUACCGCGUGGGUGAAGGAGGCCUUCGGGUUGUAAAGCCCUUUUGUUGGUAAAGAAAAGCAGCAGGUUAAUACCACGCUGUUCUGACGGUACCCAAAGAAUAAGCACCGGCUAACUUCGUG